rnacentral:lncRNA from 1 species
GUGAUAUGGUGCCUAGUCCUCCAGGGCCUUGCACACUGUAGGUGCUCAAUAAAUAUUGUUGAAUCAAUGAAUGAAUCUCUAUGACAGGAAAGAAUUCUGAGCUGAUACCCUGAUUGGAUGGGCGAACAGUGACACUGACAUAAGUAUAUAUUAUUUCUUCUACACAUGUCAGAGGAAACAUUCCACUGAAAAGAGACUCAAAAACCUUGAGUUCUCCUUCCCAAUAACCUAGGAAAAAGGUCUGCAUGGAUCAAGUCCCUGAGAACUCUGGCAUCAGUUUUUGUAGAGAAAAAUCAACUGCUGCUGUGUUUGAUGAGUUCCCCAUGAUCCUUGCUCAUGGCCAGGAAAUGUUGAGGUUGUGAGAGAACUGGAGGGAUAUUAGGCCAUCGUAAGAGUACUCUCCCCGCUGAGUCUCUGUCUCUGCUGAGUUUUGCUCUAAGAAUCUUGAAUGCUGACGUUCGUAGCCAGGAGAAGACAUGGUUUAUUUCUCUCUGACCAGGUUAUCCUUCUAAGCCGACAGAAACUGCUGGAAUGGUGUCUGUCCUAGGAGUUCACCUAAAUGAGUUCAUGCCAUUACUUAUCUGGGAAGGUGAGUCAUUUAAUUCUAUUGACUAGGGUCAAAUGGUGGUCGUUACUUCAGCCGAAAUCUAGACAA